GCGCAGAGUUUAGAAGCAGCAGUGGAUGCUGUCUUGAUGUCACAGGAUUUCCUCAGUUUAGCAGGGUGUUUGCGUCAUGUGACUUCUCUAGAAGGUCAUAAACAGCUUGUAAAAGAAGCUACAAACUGGUAUUUCUUUGGGCGAACAAGCAGUGCAUUUGAAAGGUUCAAGUUGGGUCUCUCUACCCUGGAUGUGUUAGAUGCAAUCCGGAAGUUUCCUCAAGCAUUUCAACCUGCCUUCUGCCACACAGAGACCAAACUUACCUCUCAAGAAAUUGAUCAGAUGUUCUCUAUCGUUCUGGAGAGUGAGGGAAGCAACAAAAGGCAGACGCAGUCAAAAGUCACAGGAUGGUGGCGAGAUUAUCUGAUAGAUGCACAGGAAGAGGAAACCGGAGUUUCACUUGGAGAAAUUCUAGCUUUUGCCACAGGCACUGAUUAUCCUCCAGCUCUAGGAUGGGAAACUAAGCCAUCCAUUGAAUUUAUUUACAGCAGCGACCUUUUCCCAACUGCAAACACAUGUGCUAAUGUUUUGCGUUUACCAACAGUUCACAAGGAAUAUGAGGACUUUAAAAAGAACAUGGACUUUGCCAUUCAGAAUUCUCCAGGGUUUGGGCAGGCAUAAAAGACACAUGAGUAAAUUUAUGUAUGUACUAAAAAAUCACAACAUGACUUGUUUUAUUGUGGUAACUAAGGACCUAACAUUUGUGGUGGCAUUCGAACUACUGCCUUAUUAAGUUUUGAUUCCAAAUCCUUCAAGAGGUCAAUCAAACCACUCCUAGUUAAUUGGUCAAAUUGUGCUCGAAUUCAGUAGGUCCUUAGGCAUACAUUGGACAUCAGAUCCUGCAUCUUUUUCUUUUCAGAGAUAGAAUCACUUUUUUUUAUUAUUAUUUGUCAGUUGAGGAUUUUGUUUAUCAAAUAAUAUAUUUGAUGUAUUACUGUUCAUAAUCUGAAACUUUGUAUUAACUAAUCUGGCCUUUAAUGUUAAAAAUUGUUAUGGCACUGACCAAGAGAUACAUUCUUAUAGAAAAUACCAUAUGGUGUGUAGUAUAUAGUUUAAUUUCAAUUAAAAAUAUUUUAAGCACAUGAAAAUAAGAGCAUGACUUAAAAUGUUAAAUAUUAAAGGUAAUGACAGGUCAGUUUGUGUUGUUAGACAAGGAGUUCACAUUGUUGGAAAACUUGUUACAGUAGGUUGAGUAUGAGGAAUUGUGAAUUUUUUGGGCUAUUUUAGUCUUUGAAGUAUAGUCAAAACUGUUCUUAAUACAGCUAUUUCAAUAUUGUGCACAGUUACAUUAUCUGUUUUUUGUACCUUUUGGAGAAUGUCAUAAAUGUAGCUGAGAAAAUGUACAAAUUCUUGUGAACCAACAAUUUUGAUACUUUAAAAAAAUGUUUGAAAUUUCCUGACAUUUUUAAUUAGCGCUUUUUAUUUAUUUAUUUUUUUAGAUAUUUUCCACUGGUUUCAGCUGAUAAACAGGUGGAGAUAAGUUAAGUGUUCAAUUAAGUAGCUGACAACUCAAUUAAGUAGCUGGAACGAAAACCAGCAGACACUGCGGCCCUCCAGGACCAGGGUUGAGAACCACUGGACGAGGGCAUUUAAGGGUGAAUACAUAAUCAUAGAAACCUUUUAAAAUAUAAGUAUUCAAAAUACUGUAUUUAUUUAACAAAGUAUACACCCCA